rnacentral:ncRNA from 1 species
UAUCUUCAGGGCAGGGUGUAAUUCCCUACCGGUGGUAAAGCCCACGAGCCUUUUGGUAUGAUUCGGUGAAAUUCCGAAGCCGACAGUAAAGUCUGGAUGAAAGAAGAUG